rnacentral:rRNA from 1 species
GAUGAACGCUGGCGGCGUGCCUAAUACAUGCAAGUCGAGCGAACAGACGAGGAGCUUGCUCCUCUGACGUUAGCGGCGGACGGGUGAGUAACACGUGGAUAACCUACCUAUAAGACUGGGAUAACUUCGGGAAACCGGAGCUAAUACCGGAUAAUAUAUUGAACCGCAUGGUUCAAUAGUGGAAGACGGUUUUGCUGUCACUUAUAGAUGGAUCCGCGCCGCAUUAGCUAGUUGGUAAGGUAACGGCUUACCAAGGCAACGAUGCGUAGCCGACCUGAGAGGGUGAUCGGCCACACUGGAACGGAGACACGGUCCAGACUCCUACGGGAGGCAGCAGUAGGGAAUCUUCCGCAAGGGGCGAAAGCCUGACGGAGCAACGCCGCGUGAGUGAUGAAGGUCUUCGGAUCGUAAAACUCUGUUAUUAGGGAAGAACAAAUGUGUAAGUAACUAUGCACGUCUGGACGGUACCUAAUCAGAAAGCCACGGCUAACUACGU